rnacentral:rRNA from 1 species
UGGGGAAUAUUGGACAAUGGAGGAGACUCUGAUCCAGCAAUUCUGUGUGCACGAAGACGGUUUUCGGAUUGUAAAGUGCUUUCAGCAGGGAAGAAGGAAAUGACGGUACCUGCAGAAGAAGCGACGGCUAAAUACGUGCCAGCAGCCGCGGUAAUACGUAUGUCGCGAGCGUUAUCCGGAAUUAUUGGGCAUAAAGGGCAUCUAGGCGGAUAUACAAGUCAGGGGUGAAAACUUAGGGCUCAACUCAAAGCUUGCCUUGAAACUGUAUAUCUAGAGUGCUGGAGAGGUGGACGGAACUACACGAGUAGAGGUGAAAUUCGUAGAUAUGUGUAGGAAUGCCGAUGAUGAAGAUAGUCCACUGGACAGCAACUGACGCUGAAGUGCGAAAGCUAGGGGAGCAAACAGGAUUAGAUACCCUGGUAGUCCUAGCUGUAAACGAUGAUUACUGGGUGUGGGCAUGAAGAGUGUCUGUGCCGAAGCUAAUGCGAUAAGUAAUCCGCCUGGGGAGUACGACCGCANGGGUUG